rnacentral:rRNA from 1 species
AUGGCCAUGAGCGGGCUCGGCGGUGUGAUUGCGGGCGCCGUGGGGAAGCAGAUCGUGAGCAAGCUCGGUGAAUACGCCGCGUCGGAGGUUAGUCUGCAGUGGAGGUACAGGGAGGAGGUGCUGGAGUUGGGGGAGAAGAUGAAAGAUGUGGAGGCCGUGCUGGGCGACGCCGACGAGAGGUCGCGCCGACAAGGGCGGCAAGGUGGCAGGGUGUACGAGCGGUGGCUCGCCAAGUUCAAGCGCGUGGCGUACGACGUGGAGGACGUGCUCGACGAGCUGGACGCCAAUGAGCUCAUCAGCAAGACCCAAUCCAAGGUCAGCUUCUGGUUUUCCAGACACAACCAACUCCUGCAGCGAGUAACCAUGCCACACAAGAUGAAGAAGGUGAUGAACAAGAUUGACAAAAUUAAAGAGGAGGGCAGUAGUGAGCUCAAUCUUGUGCCUCGAGAAGCAAGGGGGCAAGGGAACAGAAACAAUGAAACUUUUGCAGCCAACUGGAAUGGUGAUGGCAUCAAAACUGGAAUGGCGGGGAGGGUUAUCGAGAAGGAGAAGAUAAUCAGCCUGCUGCUCACAAGUGAAGAAGCUGACCGGAAUAUCUCCAUCAUUCCAGUUGUUGGCCUUGGUGGCAUAGGCAAGACAACAUUGGUUGAAUCGGUUCUUGCAGACAAGAGGGUCAACGUCUUUGAUGUCUCAGUCUGGGUUCAUGUGUCGAAGCAGUUUGAUUUGAGCAAAAUUGGGAGGGCCAUCCUGAAAAGCUUGAAUAGCAACAUCAACAACCUUAGCGAUUGUACUAUGCAGUUUCUGUCUGAUAAUCUGACCAAAGAACUUGCUACUAGAAGAUACUUGAUUGUCCUGGAUGAUCUAUGUGAGGAAGAUGGAAAUAACCUUGAAGAGUUGAAGAUGUUACAGCAUGGCCGCAAGGGUAGCCGCAUUAUUGUAACUACCCGAAACCAAAGCGUGGUGCAAUGCUUGCGCACUGGUUUUCUUGCAAAUCAGUGGAAAAUUUGUCCAAUUCCUGAGUCUGAAGUCAUCAAUCUGGAUGUUUUAAACCCUGAUGACUGUUGGGAAUUGAUGAAGCAAAGGGCAUUUGGGCCUGGUGAUGACCAAAGUAGCUUGGAAGAAAUCGGAAAGCAGAUUGCAGGCAAGUGUGGGGGUUUACCACUUGUUGCAAACGCUCUUGGGCAAGUAAUGUCAGAGAGAAAGAACGUCGGGGCAUGGGAAGAUAUAAGAGACACCAAGGUUGAUUUGGGUUUGAGAGAUCAGAAAGAAACAUUAGAGAGGCUAAUGCUGAGCUAUUACCACAUGGAGCCAGAAUUCAAAAUGUGUUUCACAUACUUGGCAACCUUCCCCAAGGGCUUUGUCAUGCACAGGAAUCGUCUAAUCCAGCAAUGGAAUGCACUUGGAUACAUUAAUUCAAGGCACGAUGGUCAAAGGUGCAUCAACUACCUUCUGGGGAUGUCCUUUCUUCGGAUUCCAGGUUCCACUUCGGUUAAUCCAAGUCCAUUGCAUUUCAAAGCUCCUACAGAACUCGUCAUGCAUGAUUUGGUGCAUGAUCUUGCAUCAAUAAUUGUUCUUGAUGAGUUCAUUGAUCUGGAUGCUACCAAGAGCGCCAGCUGGAACAAAGCUCGCUACUGCCGACAUGCACAGUUAACCAACUUCAAGAAUGAUCCCGAGGUUUUCAAAUAUAUUCCAGGCAAGCUUAGAUCCCUCCAAUUUAGGGAUUUGGGGGGACGCCAACUCCCUAAAAAGGCAUUUUCUCGGUCCAAGUACAUACGUGUCUUGGACCUAAGUGGACAUUCAGCUAAUGGCCAAUCUGCUCCAAGUAGUGUGGUGCUGCCAUCUUCCAUUAAUCAAUUGAAACUAAUUAGGUAUCUUGAUGCCACAUGCUUGCCAAUAACAUCACUUCCUAAGUAUUUUCAUGCACUUCAAAACAUGGAAACUCUUAUUCUGUCCAAUUGCUUUCUUGAAACCUUGCCUGACAGUAUUUGUCGCCUCACCAAACUUUGCUAUUUGGACCUAUCUGGCAGUAGCGGCCUCGGUAAGCUACUUGCAUCACUAGGGGAGCUCUCUCAACUCUUUUUCCUUAAUCUAUCCGGGUGUUCUAUACUCCAACAGUUGCCUGAAUCAAUCUGUGAGCUUACAUGUUUACAUCACCUGGACAUGUCAGAUUGUUGUGCUCUUCAAAAGUUGCCUGAUAAAUUUGGUGGCCUUCUUAAACUCUCAUUCUUAAACUUGUCAGGAUGUUCGAAGCUCACCAAACUACCUGACAAUGUAAGCUUUCCGUGUUUAGAGCAUCUGAACCUAUCUAGUUGCCAUGAGCUAGAAAACCUGCCAAUUGAUUUCGGCCACCUUCAGAAGCUUGAGUUCAUGAACCUCUCUGGUUGCUACAAGGUUCCACUGCUACCAGUAUCAUUUUGCAACUUAAUCAUUUGA